GACGAACGCUGGCGGCGUGCUUAACACAUGCAAGUCGAACGUACAGGCCCUGCUUUUGUGGGGUGCUCGAGUGGCGAACGGGUGAGUAACACGUGAGUAACCUGCACUUGACUUUGGGAUAACUUCAGGAAACUGGGGCUAAUAUCGGAUAGGAGCUCCUGCUGCAUGUUGGGGGUUGGAAAGAUUCGGCGGUUGGGGAUGGACUAGCGGCUUAUCAGCUUGUUGGUGGGGUAGUGGCUUACCAAGGCUUUGACGGGUAGCCGGCCUUAGAGGGGGACCAGCCUCAUUGGGACUGAGAGACGGCGCAGACUGCUACGGGAGGCAGCAGUGGGGAAUAUGGCGCAAUGAGCGGAAGCCUGAUGCAGCAACGCCGCGUGCGUGAUGACGUCCUUCGGGUGGUAAACCACUUUCGCCUGAGACGAAGCGGUAGUGACGGUAAUGGGUAAAGAAGCACCGGCUAACUACGUG
rnacentral:rRNA from 1 species